AGGGGCUGUGCUGCUGUCUUUGUCUUCUGCCUGGGCCUCUACUUCGUGCUUGAUGCCCGCAGCCUCUGGACACAGAGAGAUGAGAGCCCUGGUGUCCCCCCAGCAAUGACUGAGGACUUGGAGAUCCAGGUUACCCCAGUGACAGUGUGGAUCUGACCUACGCUGAGAUGCAAGCUGCCAUCCCGUGCUCCCAGCCCUCCACUUCUCCCACUGCCCCUCAGUCCCCCAUUAUCUACACCAAAGUGAGCACUGGGUUACCGUGCUGAUGGACCCCCCCAGGUGCCUCAUUUAUGGGGUGCCCUGAAGGGGACAGACCCUGAAUUCCCCGCUUGGGACUCCCCAAUGUCCUGUUCUAACCCCAGACCAGCUAACUUCCCCUAAUCUAACAAUCCCAAAUUCUCACUGAUAAACCCCAAAUGCUUCCCAGUCACACCAAAUCCCUAAAUGCUCAUCUCUUACCCCCAAAUCCUUCUUUAGCCCCUCAAAUAUCUUAACACCCCUUGAGACCUCCCAAUCCUCUCCAAUCCACUCCAAAUCACCUCCACCAUUUCUCUGUGAUCCCCUGAUCUGUCCCAAUCUACCUCUCUUCUAGAGAGCUCCCAAAAUGUUUCCUUCCUCCCCUAACAUCUCCUACGGAUGCUCUACAGAUUCUCUACAGAUUUCCCCCACAUUCCUUUCCUCCCAUUCUGUCCUGCUUCUACCAUUGGUCUUUGGGUGGUGAGCAACUGCUUUGUGCAGCACAAGAUUUGGAAAAUCAUAAACGUAUCUUAUUAUCA